rnacentral:lncRNA from 10 species
CUGGAUUCCUUUCUGUGGGAAUUUCAGUAGAAAACAUCUCAAGAAUGAGGGAGAAAAGCAAUGAAAGCAGAAGCUGAAAGGUUGAGAUGAAAAAAGUAAAUGGAGAAAACAUGGUUGGUUCUCUUUAGCCAACAUUAUGAGGUAGCCAAACUGGUGAGAAUAUAAAGACAAACAGAUAGAAGUGGAAGUACCACAUAGCCGUUAAGCAAGAGGAAGAGAAGACUCCAUGACUCUCUAAUUUCAAUUCUUCUGUGUGACCUUCACCACAAGCUUCCUUUUGCUUGAGGGACGUUUAGUAAGACUGUUUCAUGCAGCUACAACAGCCUCAGUAGAGUCAGUGUGACUGGAGAAAGAUACCUAUGGAGAGGGAAUGUGUUUGAAGCCCUCACUCAUUGCUCCAAACCAACACUCUACCCUUUUCCACCCUGUUCUGGGUCUUGGAAGUGCCAAUUUGUGUGGACCUCAUUACUGACUCCCAUCCACUAGCUUCUGGUUGGCUCCAUCCCUUCACCAAAGGCCACAGCUCCAGCCAGACGGUGUCCUCUCCAUGGAAAACUACCUUUUCUAGGCUCAGGGAAACAGCUCCCUUUCCUUGCCUCUUUGGGACUAGGGAUGGGAAGGGCCCCCACUGUUGCUAGUCCCAAGGGACUGCACUCUCCUCCUUGGUUUCUCUAAACCUGCCCACACCUUUAUAAAGAGUCGCUGUUAUUAAAGUCCUGUUACAUUACCC